UACGGAGGGUGCGAGCGUUGUCCGGAAUCAUUGGGCGUAAAGGGCGCGUAGGUGGCUUCUCAAGCGUGCGGUGAAAGCCUGGGGCUCAACCCCGGGUCGGCCGUGCGAACUGGGGGGCUUGAGCACUGUAGAGGCAGGCGGAAUUCCGGGUGUAGCGGUGGAAUGCGUAGAUAUCAGGAGGAACACCGGUGGCGAAGGCGGUUCUCUGGGCAUUACCUGACGCUGAGGAGCGAAAGUGUGGGGAGCGAACAGG
rnacentral:rRNA from 1 species